rnacentral:lncRNA from 1 species
GUCCAAGCUUUUAUUUGGUAGGUAUUCAUAAACUAACAUCCUUUCUUCUUUUUCAAAGCAACAACCGAGCAACCUCACAAGAUUUCUGUGUUGAAGUUUAACUAAUAAUCUAACUUCAGUUUUAAACUCUUCUGUUCCUUGACCUGAAUGUUCGGACAAUCUUUUCACUGCUAUCUCUUGUCCAUUGGCUAGGCAGCCCUGAAAUGUUUAUAACUCUUGAACCUCAUUUCACCUUUUUUUUCAUCAUUUUUCUACAAUUCUAUCGAAUGAAAGUAAAGACAUAAAAGACACUUCUCACAACAGUAGCUCAUGCAUGGUAGAGUUUGAGUUACCUUAUAGACAGAACCAAAUCCACCUUGCCCAAGCAUAUUCUCAUCACCAAAAUUUCUUGUUGCUUCUGUAAUCACUUUAAGGCUGAAGAAGGGAAGAUUUGAAUGUGUGUUGCUUUGGAUAUCGUGGUCAUCUUCAGAGGAAAAUUGGUUUAAAUGUUGCAUCACUUUAUCUGAAAUUAUAAAUGCACGACAUCAAAUAAUAAGCUGCUCUUACAUUUUUUGUGUGCUAUUUCUACAAAUUAUUCCCUUUAAUUGAAAUAAGGGAAAACAAGUUCUAAAGUCUCUUCUUUUUCAGAGGGUAAAUUGUAGUGGAUGAGCUAUAAAUAUUUGUAUAUAAAUUGUAUACAUGUCGAUGCGUCUAUACAUUUUGCUAGUGUUUCCAAUGUAAGGAUCCCUCUUAUUUAUUAUAAAUAAAAUCUUAGAUGCAAUACCUGCAGUUGCUAACGAAUCUUAAGAUUGGUCAAGUAGCCUUACUAACUAUACCAUAGUACGCAGUCCAUAUAAUGAGUAAAACAAAACAAAAAAGGAAUUUCUAAACCAGAAGAAACUGAUAAAUAUACCAAUUUUCAUGAAUAUAUCCAUAGUUGUUGCAUAUUGACAAUGAAGUUAUUAAGAGGUAUUCAAGAGACUAACAAAUAGUAUUGAACCAUAAAAAACGGGAUAUCACUACGGAGGUUAUAAAACAGGGAAGCGACUUCUCAAAAGAGGCCACAUUGGAAUUGGUAAAUUUCCUCUAACGGUUUGAUCAUUAUCCGUUGUUAUAUAAGACAGUUGAUGUCAAAAGGUUUGAGCCAUAGUUUUUAAAUACAAAAGAAAUUAAUUUAAACACGCAUAUAUAUACAUUUAUAUACAUUGUCAUUCAACCCAAGGCUAUACAGAGAUCAUUAUAGUGACGGCACAUAAAUUUAAAACUUGUCUUUUAAUCAUUGGAGUGCUGUGUAAUAGCAUCCUUAAUAGUAAAUGACGCACCUUUGCUUUUUCUCUUCCACAAGUAAUAUACACAGGAGAAAAGAAUGAGACUUGCUAGUACUGAAGCAAUCAGAAUUGCAACCAUCCUCUUUUUACCGCUUACUCCUUUUGUUUUUUUGUUAUAAUUUGCUGACAAGAAGAAACAGUUCAGAUAGGUUGUAGCAGCAGAAUCCUACUAUAUAUACGUGGUGUUAAAUUCAAGAAGUAAAAGAUAGUGUGAGGGAGUACCUAGUUCAACUGCAUCAACACGGACAAAUAAAUCUUGGCCUUGAUCACUCAGUUUUUGUAUGUCUAUCAAAUUUCCAUGCCAUGCCAAGCACCCACUUCCACCAUUUCUUACAUCAAGAACUGCAUAUGCAGUGCAAGAGCAGUUUCUCAAGCAAUCCUCCUCACACUUUUCCAAACUCCAACCCUCUUUGGCAGUUGCCUCGGAGGUAUCAGGAAGCUUCAAGCCUUCAAGUUUCACAAACCCUUCUCCAUUCCCACAAACGGAUGCACCUUGCUUCCUCACGCACCCUCCUGACCCAUCUCUGUUAUCAUACCAAUCAUGUGGGAAUUUGGGUUCAAACCCAGGUAGACAAGAACACCGAAAUUCCUCAAAGUUCAAAGGGUCACAGUUACUGUUUGAUCCACAGGUUCCAUAGUUAUCACAUUGAUUUGUUGGUUCAGACCAGUACCUAUUCCAUUGACUCUUUUGGUUAUCCCAAGUGAAUACUUGAAAGAAACCUGACGGUUGAACUACUACCCGAGAGACCAAGGGCUUAUCAACCGUGUUAUAUGAGAGUACUACCUGGUUGUCAUCUUCUAUAAAAGAAACGUUAAAAGUAAAGAUUUCUCUCUUCAUGUCGGGUAUACCCAUAAAUAAUUCACCGUUCCACGAUCCGCCUCGCCAAAAGGGAAUGUUCAGGUGAUAAAAGAACAGCUGUGGUUUCCCAGUGCUGCUUAUUUUCAAAGUGUAAGAACCUGUUCCGGGAUCAUCAUCUGUUUUCCAAGAUUGGAGGAACCAACUCUGGUUUGUUCUUCUGUUAAAUCCAACUUUUAGAUCUUGAAGCAAGGUAUCAGUGGGAUGGUCAAAGCUUUGCCAGAUGAAAGCUUCGGUGUUCUCAAGAAUCAGAACAAGGUUACCUAUAUCUGUGAGUUUAGCCAUGACUUUGGUGCUGUUUGAUUGGGAAGUUGAAAUAUUGGUAGACCAAACGGGAAUGGUGCUAUAUUUGUGUUGGAGUACUAGGUUUCCAUCUGGGUUGAUUGAAAGAAACCCAGAAGUGUCAUUGAUGGGAGUGUUUCUGUUUGCCACCCAAGCAACAGUUUGUUCUUGGACGUUGUUGUACCAUAUUCCCACAUAGCGGAAGUUGGACUUGCCUGGACUGAAGAAUCCAAGAGCAAAUGUCUGGGCUUUUGAAACAAGAAGCUCUCCAUCUCUGAUGCCUUUGUCAGCAAAUAGGGUAUCAGAAGAAGAGCAAUACGAGAAGCUGAAUAGUAGAAUCUUAGCGCAAAGCAGGUAGAUGCUAUGCUUGUUGUAUUGACUCAUGAGAAAGCUUGAAGGACUUUUAGCAUAGUGCAUGGAGUUGUUGUUUCAUACUCCUCUUGCAUAUUAUGAGGAGAAAUAAAUAGCAGUGGUGUGAAAUCCAAUAUGCUCGUACUCCUUGUACUAAUUUAUCUCUCUAGCAGAUUCAUGUACCCACAACUACGCAAGACUUUCACUUGGAUUGAGGACUAGUACACUUGGGAACACUCAUUCCUUUUGUGAAGCUUGUCUUUGGAACGUCGUGGAGGCUGCUGAAUGCCCACCCAACAAAGGCCGUACCUAAAACGUCACUCUUUUCUGCCUACAAAUAACUGUUGCAUGGUGUAACAUUGCAUUGCUUGCACCACCAAUUGCACAAAGACACAUGACACAUUAUGUUUCAAACAAUACCGUAUUUUUAGGAGGGAGUAGUGGAUAAAUAUACAUUUAAUAACUUCUUAGAAUCAUUACUGUUGUUUUGUGUUAUCACUUUUCUCGUCAUUCUGCAUUUCUAUGUAGUACUAUAUUACUAUAUUCAUCUCAGAAUACGCGAUUUUGCUUAACUCAACUAUUAACUUAACCCAUACGGUAAGAGAUGGUUAUCACUAAUUAAUCUAUAUAUAUAGAUAAUCUCUUGGUCGAUAUCUCUCUUCUUCUUUUCAAAUUUUGAGAUGAUGAAAACAACUUUUUAAUGUUUCUUGAGCUUAUCAUAUAUUUAAUAUAUUAUCUCAAUAUCAUCAGUACUUCCAUUUCAUGGAAUAGUUCUUCAUGAUUAGAAACUUUCUCAAUUUUUCAUUGAUUUGACAAUUUGAAAAAAAAAAACUUCAUUAAUUUACAACUAUCAACAAGUUAACAUGAUUUUACCAUUGUUAGUCAGAUGCAAAUUUUUUAUCAACAACAAAUUAAUUCAAGAUGAAUUUUUACAUAAGGAUCAUUUCAUAUGUAGUCAAACCCGGGUACAUAAAGGCGGACUCAAACACUCUACAAACUCUAAAAAACGUAGUCGAAAAGAUACUAACAAAACCAACAAAACCUUUGAAAAAUACCACCCCCAACUCAAGAAACACCACCCCACCAACCAAGAACAUAAACAAAUGAGACUAAGACGACGUAAACAUAUCAAAGGGGCAAGACACCAAUCUGAAUAGGAAAAAUAAGCAAAUGACACUUUAGAAGAUAACCUAGACCAAACCUUUAGUUGAGACAAAGAUAAAAUUUCAUAAUGAUCCAACACUCCAUCCUUGAAAAUGAUUGAAAAUGAUCUUAUUCCUAUGUCCUUAGAUCUCAUUUACCACUGCAAUCCAAACAUUCCGCAAAACUAAGUUAACAGAAUUAGAAUCAGAAGCGUUACACAAAUUGAACUAUAAGAAGUGUGAAUGAGCGUCGAAAGGAUCAGCUGACAUCCACCCUAACCAUGCAUAACAGAGAUUCCACACUAACUAGGUGAUUCUACAACCAAAAAACAAGUGAUUUAAAGUCUCUUCUUCAACCAUACGUCUAACCAAAUUAAUCUUAGUAACAAUCUUGUUUUCCAACACCUUCCAGACGGUAAUGUGGACAAAGGGUAAAGCUUAAUCCUCCAAAAAACCUUAAACAACCGCGCACGAUCGCCAUUUAACUCUCCUCUUAGAAUAUCAUAAGCAGAUUUAAUCGAUAACUCUAGCAAACUCACAAUUUUUCCAAACCCGUUUAUCAUCAGUUUCCACAACAGGACACGAGUCAUGCACCACAUCAAGAGGUGACUAACCUGAUUCUUCUCCCAAUCAAAAAGACUCAUUCUCCACUCCAAAUUCCACACUCAUACACUAUUAACCCAAUACCUGCAAAGAUCCAACGUUAAAGCUUUGUUAGGAUAAAGAGAAAACAAUCUUGGAAAUUGGUUCUUUAAAACAACAUUACCCACCCACCUAUCCUCCCAAAAGGUAAUGUUCUUACCAUUACCAACUUCCCACUUACAACAGUCUUCGAAAUCCCUACCCCAGUCUUUUAUCUCCCAAAUCGCCUUCAAAUCUCUCCACCACAGGAGUCUUUGUUAUAAGAUAUGUUUUCUUUCAAACUUCUCCAACCUCCGUAUUUAGAUUGUAAUGCCUCCUUUCAUAAACCACUUUGAACCUAACCUCCAAAUCCAUUUACUUAACAAGGCCAAAUUGAAAAGUUUAACAUUAAUGAUACCGAACCCACCACCUUCACCAGACACACAAACCUUCUCCUAAGAGGUCCAAGCGAUCUUCCUCCCUUCAAACCCCAAACCCUAAAGAAAAUUUCUUUGUACUUUGACAAUCUAUUUCAACACAACUGAAGGCAUCCUAAACAUGGAUAUAUAGAACAACUAGAUUUUUUUUUUUAUCUGAGCUCUUAAAUGAGAAACAUAGUAUAUGUGUAGCUUUGUCAAGAAGAAGAUAAACCUAUCAAUUUGGUGAAAUAAACAUAUUCAUGGAUGCUAGAAGUCAGACCACCACCAACUUAUAUUUUGNNNNNNNNNNNNNNNNNNNNNNNNNNNNNNNNNNNNNNNNNNNNNNNNNNNNNNNNNNNNNNNNNNNNNNNNNNNNNNNNNNNNNNNNNNNNNNNNNNNNUAACAGAUAUUUCUGUUAAUUUUAUUAUUUGCUAUCACAUCAAGAAGUGAUUGAGCAGAAAAGUAUUUUUUAACUUUAUCCCUCUACAAAGAAACAAAAUAAUAAUAAAUAGAAUAUCGGAUAAGUGUUGUUAUCACAUUUAUUUAAUUAAGUACGAUAUCCAUUGUAGUCACAUUUACAUGUUGAAUUUGUAUAAAUUAACAUUAUUUCAUUAUUAGAUUAUUAUGAAUAUUAUCAAUAAUGAAAAUUAAUAUUUUAUUAUGCUAAUUACAAUAAUAAAUAUUUGUUAAUAAAGUUUAUGAUGUGCUUCUACUUUCAGUUAGAUUUUAAGUAAUAAGAGGCUCUGCGUCGUUAUAAAACUGGAAAAACACUACACAACAUUUGGAAGCACCUCUUGAUUAAAUAAAAACAUGAACCACCAGAUAAAGUGUACUUUUCCUUCAUUCCUUUUCUUGAAAUAAAGGUUAUAAACAUAGAUUCAAGAUGCCCUUUCUUAGUACACACAUUUCAAACUUCUCUGAUUAGAUUGUGUCGCAAAAAUUCAAGAUUUAAUCUCUAAAGUUUCUACCAUCACACACAAGCACAUAAAAGAAGGCGAUAUUCCAGAACUCUAAACUACUAUAGAACCUAGAGUAGAAAGAUUCACAUUUUAUGUGAACAAUAUACAUGUCUGAGGUAACUUUUAGCUAACGAGCACUGAUAGUAGUUGCUGUUAUUUCAUUUAUUGAAGAUCCUCCACCUAAUGUUAAUGACUCGGGCAAAUCUCCAUUCAGUAAAAAUGCUGGCUUUUCGGGUGGAGAAAGAGGUGUUUCAUUGCCUAGCAUGAAAACAACUUCUGACAAGGAAGGUCUAUUCGCUGAAUUUUCUUGCACGCACAAUAGACCAAUUUGAAUGCACCUCAGAACAAGAGAUGGAGAAUAAGACUGAGGUAGUGUUGAAUCAACUACAUCCAAGGCCCUUCCUUCUGUCCAAACUGUCCACACCUACACGUGUAUAACAUAAUCAUUAAAUUAAUCAGUGAUAACACAAUAAUUUGUUUGCCACUUUUAAUGAUUUUUCUCUCUCAACUUACAUGUCCAAUCAAAUUUAGAGAGGGUCUUCCCUUUUCACAAUCUGUGUUCCUCUUCCCAGCAAUAAUCUCUAGGAGUAAGACCCCAAAACUAAAGACAUCAGAUUUUGUUGAAUAGCGUCCAUGCAUUGCAUAUUCAGGUGACAUAUAACCACUGCAUAAUCCAAAACGGUUAGAACAUUACGAAUAAUACAUGUUAAUAACUCCUGUCUAUAGGUUUACAUGAAUAAUAGACCUACUAUGUUCCAACCACUCUUCUCGUCCUUGCUUGGAUUUGAUCUUCUCCAAAUAUUCUAGCCAUACCAAAAUCUGAGAUUUUGGGAUUCAUUGCAGCAUCAAGGAGCACAUUGCUGGCUUUUAGAUCUCUAUGAAUUAUUUUCAGCCUUGAAUCUUGAUGAAGAUAUAACACACCUCGAGCAAUCCCCAAAAUGAUUUCAAAGCGCUUAUCCCAAGUCAGUGAUGACCUUCGCUUUUCAUCUGAAUUUAAGCGUUCAAAUUCUCAGAUAUGUAUAAAAAAUGUCAUGAAACAGGAGUAUAACAUUUUUUUUUGGUAUAAUGUUACAGUGGUUUAAUCAGGGGAUCUAUGAAAUUUAUAUAUGAAGGUUGGGGAGAAAUGAGUGAGUAGAGAAAGACAUACCGAAUAUGAAGAAGUCCAAGCUUUUAUUUGGUAGGUAUUCAUAAACUAACAUCCUUUCUUCUUUUUCAAAGCAACAACCGAGCAACCUCACAAGAUUUCUGUGUUGAAGUUUAACUAAUAAUCUAACUUCAGUUUUAAACUCUUCUGUCCCUUGACCUGAAUGUUCGGACAAUCUUUUCACUGCUAUCUCUUGUCCAUUGGCUAGGCAGCCCU